UACGUAGGUGGCAAGCGUUGUCCGGAUUUACUGGGCGUAAAGAGCGCGCAGGCGGUCGUUCAAGUCGCGUGUGAAAGCCCCCGGCUCAACUGGGGAGGGUCACGCGAUACUGAUCGACUGGAAGGCAGGAGAGGUGAGUGGAAUUCCCAGUGUAGCGGUGAAAUGCGUAGAUAUUGGGAGGAACACCAGUGGCGAAGGCGGCUCACUGGACCGGUACUGACGCUGAGGCGCGAAAGCGUGGGGAGCAAACGGG
rnacentral:rRNA from 1 species